GAGAGGAGCAACAGAACCCAUCCGGCACCAGCCUUUUGCCCAUACGCGAGAGCAUCCGAAGAAUCGAGCAUCUCUACUCGUGAAACCAGCCCACCACUCGCACCGUACCAUUCCCCGGAACGUCGUCGAAAAAUCUGCAAAAGCUAAUUAUACCGACCUCCCUUCUGCUCCGACGAUCUUACGUUUCCUCGGCUACGUAUCUUCCCUCCUUCUCUUCGCUCGGCCCUUUCGCAUGCCUGCUUUCCUCUAAACAGUCUGCUGGAUUUGGAAAUUUCUGUAUUAAGUCUCGACGACUUUAUUCGUAAACGAGGUUACUAGAUUUUAAUCCGUGUCAAAUAUGUAGAUUAUUCGCGGUAUCGUAGUUCGGUUUUCUGAGAUCAAUAUUAAUAUAUUGAUUAUCAUUAUUACACAAAAUAUGAAUUGAAAGAAAUUCGCUUUUGAUACUAUCAAACAUUGCUCCGAAAGUUAUUUUAGUUAUAAUUUUAAUUACAACUAAAUAACGUUUACUGACUUUUGUAAGGCGAAGUAAGGGUAACAGUUAAAACUGAAUAACAAGUGUUCGUUGAACUCGGGUCUAUAAAACUACAAUUAUACGUAUAGGCUCAUAAAAGGAACGACGGCGUUAGCAGUUAGCUCGUGACACGAAUAAAACCUCGUUCGUCGACUUUGGCCGUGAAUACGUGUCUACGUGGCACGUUAGGGUCGUAAGUGGGUUAAAGGUACUGGUUGUUUAGAGGGUAAAGUGCAUAGUUUGCCCGCGCUUGGAAACAACGGAGAGUGGAUCGCCUAACGAAGUGUGUUCGUCACUGCGGAGACCAUGGAAACAAAUAUAUUGCGAGGGAGCUGACGCGAUGUCAAAGAAAACACAAUCCGACGAAACCGUUAACAGUUCGCUUAUUCGAUCUCUCUGCUCGCUCAAUUUCGAACUCGACCCUUCGCAAUGAUUGCGUGCAAUACUCUUGUGUGUAAAAAUCGCGAUUGGAGCUCGAGGACUUUGUGACAAUUUCGCUUCCUCUAGAAUUUAGAGAAACACAUUUUAUAUUUUUGUUUUGAAUGUUUGUAGAAUUUUAUAGUAAAGAUUAUGUUUAUUACGUAUGUUGCUCUGCGUUAGAUAUUUUGUAUAUUUUCACUUUCCCUAGGUAUAUCCUGCAUAUUUCUUACAGUAAUUUGCAGUUUGUGUAGAUACUAGUGUGCAAGAUUGUGAAAUGUUUCUAUAAAAAUUAAUAAUUAAGUGAUGCUCGUUUUCAUUACGCCUCGUUUCCUAUAAUGUUACCAACUAUUUUUUACAAACCCUACAAAUGUUUCAUGACUUGAGUAUCGAGGUACGAGCGACAUCCAUGAGACGGUUCAAGAAAUCCAAGAUGUGGGAGGAUAGACGGAAGGUUGAAAGAUAUCUGCGUCACAGAAAUACAAUACUUAACGCGUUUGCAUGAGUAUUACAUUAACCGAAGUUCGAACUCGUUCGAGCACGUAUCAUCUGCCCCUCAAUAUCCGAACCGUACAUAUCGUACUACUUUUUAAUUAACAUAGAGGAAGAAUCAAUAAGGAAUGUGAUUAGAAAAACUACGAUAUUGAUGCAAAGUAUCUUUUGAACCAAAUCAGAGGAUUAUUAUUUCAUGUGACUAUUGAGAGUGUACGACUACUGGUACGAAAAAUUGUAAAGGGUGAUUCUAGAAGUCAAAAUAAGAUCAAGAAUAAUCAAGAAUACAUAUAAAGUCAAAAUAAAAUCAAGAAUACAUAUAAAGUACAGAAUAUAAACUUUCACCGGUCAGUAUAAGAAAACCCAUUUCUGCCUUUCAUAUCUCUUCUACAUACAAAAUAGCAAACAUACCAGAAUGUGCCUCUCUUGAAAGCCUCUCUCGAAAGCCUCUCUCCCAUUCAACGUUAUAUUUAAUAUCUUUUGCAUAAUAGAAUCAAAGUGGUAAUAUCGAGUGAACAACCCUAUACACCCUGUUCGCGUCGCGUGUAGCAUAGAUCGAGCAGAAAGCGCGCGCAAUGUCGGCGAUUCGGGUUAACCAGGAAAGCAGCACGACUCUGUCACUAAUCCGCCAUGCAGCGGUUAAGCCGCGUCCGUUGCUGGGUAUCGCUGUCGGAGGUUUUUCAUGAAGUCCGAUACUCGGACACGAUAUCAUUUUUUUGUUCAUUCCCCCGUUCCGCCGCGUUCUCUAUCCCUUUGACUCGAUUCGACAAAGCAGCGGAGCUACCGUGGAAAUCCCGCCUCGGGGUCCACGGUCCGCGAUGGAAAUCUCGUCGGCGGAACGAAGAAGGGAGAAAGGGAUACCGGCGAGAUAGAAGGAAAAAGAGAGACAGCGGGAUCGGCAAAGGAGGAAAGGGGAAGCACUCGUUGAUUUCCCGUUUUCAUAUUCAAUAUGAUCUGCCCCGGCAUUGUAUUCAUUGAAAACGAGUCAACCGCACGCAAGAUCAGGAGCCGGGCGCCAGAAACGAGAGUGGAUCAUGGAAGCCUGGGCUACGUCGGUGAUGAUGGCAGCGGUGUGUGGCAGUGGUGGUGCGGUGGGUAGGUCGUUGCGGUGGUUGGAUGGAUGGUUAGUUGGUAGGUAGGUAGGUUGGUUGGUUGGCUGACUGGCUGGUUUCCUACUCCAACUAAUGAAAGGAGACUCUGCGCCAGGGUCUGGAGGUUGCCCGUCUGCUUGAGGUUUAAAGUCGAUGUGUCCUCUUCAGCCGUGAAUCACGACCGGGAGCACGCCGCGUAUCCCGGGGGAUGCCGGGGACACGAGGGAAUGGGGCAGAGGAUGAUGCUUCUGGACCGUUCCGGGCUAGAGGUAUCUUUCAAGGCGAGAGCCAACUUCGACGCGAAUAGAGACGUAAGCCCGGUGUGCCCAGGCUACUUUUAGGAUUACCUUGCCACUUAUUUUCGGAAUUCUUGUUCCCGGGGCUUCGCUUUUGUACGGUUUACUUUGAUGAAUAAUAUCCUUGGAUACCGAGGUUAUGCGACCGGGCCACUUUUCAGAUUACCUCGCCACUUAGUUCCGGAAUUCUUGUUCCCGGGACUUCGCUUUUCCACCGAUAUUUUUGGGAAUAAUAUGUGUAAAUAACAACAUUAUACAUAAAUAAAAAGAAUCUAGUAUUCUGCGUUUUGCUUUAUAGUAUUAGUAUUCAAUAAAAUACUAGGAUUCUUUCGAUAUAAGUGCAGUUGUGUUCAUUUAUAAAAUGUUUUAAAUGUAGGUAUGAAAAUAUCUGUGAAAUGGUAAAAUAUCUGAAUACAAAUAAACCGGGAGAACUCAGUCAGGUUGGGAACCUAAUUCAGCAAUAUUCGUGUUAACGAAUCGCCAACGUUUUCCAUUCGAGUGUUUGCCCUACAAAAACCGCAUUUAUAUUCCCCAAUGUAUUCAAUAUCUGCGUUACAAUGUGUAUACAACGAGUAAAAACAAGACGAUCAACACUGAAUCGAUUGAGUGCCUUAUUUCUCUGCUGCUACCUAUACAAAAGUUGUCAAUUCCAAACAACAUAAUAAAGAAAUUCCUCAUUUAAAUAAAUUGCGUUUGUUUUCUUUACAAUCUAUUUGAAUAUCCAUUUGAAUCAUCAUUAACCCGAGCAAUAUCCUAUGGUCCAUAAACAUUCAGUGUACACUUUCUUCCUUUUCAUAACGAUUAGAUUACGACGUGAAAUAAAGAUGAGACACAGCAAUAAUGAUAAUAACUCGCAGAAAACGCAUCAACCCAUCCGGGCCCUAUUAAAACCCGACUCCUUAAACGCAACGACAAAACCUUCCGUCUGGUUUCAAAGGAAGAGGUGGUCGCUGAUUAAAGAUCCUCCUUAGCAGCAGCGAGACUUUUAAUCACGAUAAGCGCGACCUCGCGACAGCCGGGUCCCUCCUCGUAUUCCCUAAUGACGAAAGGCCAUUCGCAAGAAGAAUCUCGCCCAUCGCCGUCCUCGGAUUCUCCGUUUCCCUCCCCGGCCAUGUUCGCACUGCGAGAAAGAGGCAGCGAAGAACCGAGUAACGUCAUUGUGGCAGAAAAAUGGAAGUUCCUAAUAGAGACCACCGUGCAUGCGGCAGGGGGUGAGAAACACCGAGGCGAGAGAGCGAGGAGGAUCGUCGGGGAUGCAACGAGGAGGGAAGCUGGCGAGUAUCGCGGACGAGAUGGAUGACGCGGGGAGAAUGCAGAUCCCGGGUAGGGAUGCGGAUGGAUGGGCAUGGACCGGCGGAGCAGCGCAGCGAAGGGUCGCGAGCGUAAAAGGGUGCAGCGGCGCUCACGGUGCAACCCUAUAGGCGACUGUACCGCGCCGCGGCGCUAUUGGGGUGGUUGCCAGGGUGGUGGUACGGGGCGGAGCGACGCCGAUAGGAGGGUUGCUGCCGCCGGCCUCUCGCCGGCUGCUUUUUCGGAGGGUUGGAUCAGCGCGACGCUCGGUGCGCGAACUCCAGGACGCCGACGACUGACGGACGGCUUGAUGCACGCUCACCUCGCUAUCUUUAACUCGAAAUUGCGCAACGUUUGAUUAAUCGCAGCCAAAGGUUACGAUUUAUGUAGGAAGAAUUGCGUCACGUGCACUUCUAUUGUAUUACAUUAUGGGUGCUUCCAGAUUAUGAUAUACGCGUAAGUGUCUGAUAUAUGAUAGUUUAUACUACUUCCACAGCUUGGAACUAUCAAAUCUUACUGUCUGUUUAAUAUAAUUAAAAAAGCGUGUUAGCGAAAUAGUGUGGAAAAUAGUGUGUAACCAUAAAAUCAUUAACAUAUUCCUUUCUUAGUUAUUUGUAAUAAUCAAUAAAUAAAGAGAAUUUGAUUUUUAUUUAA